rnacentral:lncRNA from 1 species
CAAAAUGUAAAGAAUACUGAGGAGAUGCCCUUUCAUAAGGAAUAUUGAAGAGGAAAAAGGAGCCAACAAGGGAUAUGGAGAAAGAAUAGUUAAGGGGCUCAUUUUUACAGAUGAGGAACUGAGGCAAACAGGAUUGAGUGAUGUGUCAGGGUCACACAGAUUUGAACUUGUGAAAUGAGUAUCCCUGAUUUCAAGCCCAGUGCUCUAUCCACUGUGCCACCUAUUGGGAUAUACACCAAGCUAGGAUGUACAGGGAGUAGUACCUCUGGUGUGAAGGUAUGUCAAGCCCUUUUCAGACCUGCUUUCCUCCUUUGUUGUCUAACUGCCACCUAGCUCUCACCUGUGGCUCUAGGAAGUUAUAGCAUGUACAGUUUCUAGAUGAUAAUCAACAAUGUUGUUAGGCAGGCCAAACCAGAUUGAAGGAAACUGCCAGGGCUUAAACGCAUCACUUGGUUAUUAUGGAGGUGUCUAUCCCAGGCAUGUGAAGAUUUUCCUAAGCAGAAGGGGCAGAUGAGAACAAUUUGUUUCAAUAACAAUGAAAGAAGCUGAAAGAAGUGUUGUCAGGAGUUUAGAGCUUGAUUAUACAUUGAAGAACCAAGGUCAUCCGUUGCAUCCCUGGUCAUCACUAGGCAUCUUGAUUUUUGUCUUGUUACUGGACUUUGAUGAUUCUAGAAGAGAAUGUGAGGCUGAAAAUUUUGUGUAACUUUGCCUCACUUAAAUCCAAUUUAUAUGUGAGUCAAAAGCCAUCAUCAGUGAUACCAUCGUGGUUCUUUGAGUAUAAAGGAAAACAAUUGACCUAUCUCAUAAGUUUGUGUUAUGAGACUCAGAUGAAAUGACAUAAGUGGUUUGCACAUUUUAAAGUGCUAAAUAAAUGUUAACUAUUUUACUGAUGAGGAAAUUGA